GUGCCCAGAGAAUCUCUUGCAAGGGUUGGGUGUGCCUGGAAGAACAGGUAAUGGUAGCUGUCAUCCAAGCCUCUUGCAGGAUUCUUACAGAAUCUGUCCCUGUGCUUCCCAGUGGCAGUGAGGCAAGCAUGGUUAGAAAGUUCUUGGAAGAGUCUGCUGUUUCUCCUGAGUGUUGGAGGCACCCAGGACCCCAGUGCCCAGUGCUCAGUUUCAUCUGUCAUUAAUCUCCAAAGGCUAACAGAACCCUGGAUUUAUAGAUGCAUACACACCUUUUGACCUCUCCAGCUAAAAUUCGAAGUGGAAUUGAUCUGGUACAAUGCAAAAAUCAGCAUAAAGCCCGGACUGCUUCGAGGACAAAGGGAUCAGUAGAUACUGAAGAUGUCCUUGGUAGCAAGGCUGUCCCAGAGCUUCUGCAGUGGCCCCAAAAUACCAGGCUGUGUCCCUAUUAUGAGACUUGGAACAAACGUGAGGUGCUUAAUGGGAGAAGUUCAACACAACCAUCAGCCUUCAACUCCCUUUAUUUCUCAUGAUUGAGAUCUGCCAGGCGCAUUUCUUCAAAUGAAAAGUCUAAAUCCAGAGAACCGACAGUGAC
ensembl:lncRNA